rnacentral:rRNA from 1 species
AUUGAACGCUAGCGGGAUGCCUUACACAUGCAAGUCGAACGGAGUGGCGAACGGGUGAGGAAUGUAUCGGAACGUGCCCAGUCGCGGGGGAUAACUACGCGAAAGCGUAGCUAAUACUGCAAACCAUUGGAGCUGCCGAUAUCGGAUUAGCUAGUGGGUGGGUUAACGGCUCACCAAGGCGACGAUCCGUAGCUGGUUUGUGAGGAGGACCAGCCACACUGGGACUGAGACACGGCCCAGACUCCUACGGGAGGCAGCAGUGGGGAAUUUUGGACAAUGGGGGAAACCCUGAUCCAGCCAUGCCGCGUGUACGAUGAAGGCCUUCGGGUUGUAAAGCACUUUUGGCGGGAAAGCGUUACCUGCAGAAUAAGCACCGGCUAACUACGUGCCAGCAGCCGCGGUAAUAC